CUGUGCCCAACCAUGCCCAACACCUGCUGAUUUGCAUGUCCCCAGGACACAGCCCACUGCCUUCAAACUUUUUAACAGGCUGCUUACAGCAUGGUCAGGAUUCAAUCCCAGUCAGUACACAGCAUGAACAUGAAGGUCCCUGUUCAGCUCCUGGGGCUUUUGAUGCUCUGGCUGCCAGGAACCAGGUGUGACAUCCAGAUGACCCAGUCUCCAUCCUCCCUGUCUGUGUCUCCUGGAGACAGAGUCACCAUCACUUGCAGAGCCAGUCAGGGCAUUUAUAAUGCUCUAACUUGGUUUCAUCAGGAACCAGGGAAAGCUCCUAAACUCCUGAUCUAUUCUGCAAGAUUUCUGCAACCUGGGAUCCCAUCCAGAUUCAGUGGCAGUGGAUCUGGGGCAGAAUACACUAUCACCAUUAGCAGCCUGGAGCCUGAGGAUGUUGCAACUUAUUACUGCCUUCAGAGUGCUGUCCCCCCUCCCACAGUGAUACAAGCCAUGACAGAAACCUUCCAGGGAAGCCUAAGUGUGAGGCUGGGCUUCCCCAGCUGCUUCUCCUGA